rnacentral:tRNA from 1 species
GGAGGGGUACUCAAGUGGCUGAAGAGGCGGGAUUGCUAAUCCUGUAGGGGGACGUCAGUCCCCGCGGGGGUUCGAAUCCCCCCCCCUCCGCCA